rnacentral:rRNA from 1 species
GCUUAACACAUGCAAGUCGAGGGGCAGCACAGUGCAGCAAUGCACGGGUGGCGACCGGCGCACGGGUGCGUAACGCGUAUCCAACCUUCCCGUUACUCAUGGAUAGCCUUCCGAAAGGGAGAUUAAUACAUGAUGGUGUUGAAAUUCCGCAUGUUAUUUCAACUAAAGAUUUAUCGGUAACGGAUGGGGAUGCGUGACAUUAGGUAGAUGGCGGGGUAACGGCCCACCAUGCCUACGAUGUCUAGGGGUUCUGAGAGGAAGGUCCCCCACACUGGAACUGAGACACGGUCCAGACUCCUACGGGAGGCAGCAGUGAGGAAUAUUGGUCAAUGGUCGGAAGACUGAACCAGCCAAGUAGCGUGAAGGAUGAAGGUUCUAUGGAUUGUAAACUUCUUUUAUACGGGAAUAAAACCACCUACGUGUAGGUGCUUGUAUGUACCGUAUGAAUAAGCAUCGGCUAACUCCGUGCCAGCAGCCGCGGUAAUACGGAGGAUGCGAGCGUUAUCCGGAUUUAUUGGGUUUAAAGGGAGCGUAGACGGGAUGUUAAGUCAGCUGUGAAAGUUUGGGGCUCAACCUUAAAAUUGCAGUUGAUACUGGCGUCCUUGAGUGCGGUUGAGGUAUGUGGAAUUCGUGGUGUAGCGGUGAAAUGCUUAGAUAUCACGAA